rnacentral:rRNA from 1 species
GUUUGAUCCUGGCUCAGAAUCAACGCUGGCGGCGUGCCUAACACAUGCAAGUCGAACGAGAAAGUGGAGCAAUCCAUGAGUAAAGUGGCGCACGGGUGAGUAACACGUGACUAACCUACCCAGGAGUGGGGGAUAACUGAGGGAAACCUUAGCUAAUACCGCAUAACACCUACGGGUCAAAGGAGCAAUUCGCUUCUGGAGGGGGUCGCGGCCGAUUAGUUAGUUGGCAGGGUAAUGGCCUACCAAGACGAUGAUCGGUAUCCGGCCUGAGAGGGCGCACGGACACACUGGAACUGAAACACGGUCCAGACUCCUACGGGAGGCAGCAGUGGGGAAUUUUGCGCAAUGGGGGAAACCCUGACGCAGCAACGCCGCGUGGAGGAUGAAGUCCUUCGGGACGUAAACUCCUUUCGAUCGGGACGAUUAUGACGGUACCGGAAGAAGAAGCCCCGGCUAACUUCGUGCCAGCAGCCGCGGUAAUAGCUGU